rnacentral:rRNA from 1 species
AGUCGAGCGGUAACAUUUCUAGCUUGCUAGAAGAUGACGAGCGGCGGACGGGUGAGUAACGCGUAGGAAUCUGCCUAGUAGUGGGGGACAACAUGUGGAAACGCAUGCUAAUACCGCAUACGCCCUGAGGGGGAAAGGAGGGGAUCUUCGGACCUUUCGCUAUUAGAUGAGCCUGCGUGAGAUUAGCUAGUUGGUGAGGUAAAGGCUCACCAAGGCGACGAUCUCUAGCUGGUCUGAGAGGAUGAUCAGCCACACUGGGACUGAGACACGGCCCAGACUCCGACGGGAGGCAGCAGUGGGGAAUAUUGGACAAUGGGCGCAAGCCUGAUCCAGCCAUGCCGCGUGUGUGAAGAAGGCCUUAGGGUUGUAAAGCACUUUCAGGAGUGAGGAAGGGUGUACGGUUAAUACCCGUAUAUUUUGACGUUAGCUCCAGAAGAAGCACCGGCUAACUCUGUGCCAGCAGCCGCGGUAAUACAGAGGGUGCAAGCGUUAAUCGGAAUUACUGGGCGUAAAGCGCGCGUAGGUGGUUUGUUAAGUCGGAUGUGAAAUCCCAGGGCUCAACCUUGGAAUUGCACCCGAUACUGGCAGGCUAGAGUACGGUCGAGGGGUGUGGAAUUUCCUGUGU